AUACAUUUCUCGGCCUUUUGGCAAAGAUCAAGUGUAGUAUCUAUUUUUAUCAGUUUAAUAUAUGAUGAGUGAGACAUCAGCCCACACGAUAUUAACUCAAUUUUUUAAGAGAAAUGUCCAUUAGAGUAGCUUGUUAUCCGGGCCUUCACGCAUCGCUUAGGCGUUGCACUACAGCCCAGGCCUGGAGCCAGGGGC
rnacentral:snRNA from 1 species